GACGAAGGUGGCGACCGUUGUUCGGAAUCACUGGGCAUAAAGAGCACGUAGGCGGCAAGGUAUGUCGGGUGUGAAAUCCCUCGGCCUAACCGAGGAAUUGCGCCCGAAACUACCUUGCUUGAGGAUGGAAGGGGAGCGUGGAAUUCCUGGUGGAGCGGUGAAAUGCGUUGAUAUCAGGAGGAACACCGGCGGCGAAGGCGACGCUCUGGUCCAUUACUGACGCUGAGGUGCGAAAGCCAGGGGAGCAAAC
rnacentral:rRNA from 1 species